rnacentral:tRNA from 1 species
CACUAGAAAGCUAAAUAGGGCCUAGCGUUAGCCUUUUAGCUAAAGAUUGGUGACCCCCAACCACCUCUAGUGA